rnacentral:rRNA from 1 species
CAACCCUUGACAUCCCGGGACCGGCCCAGAGAUGGGUCUUUCACUUCGGUGACUCGGUGACAGGUGCUGCAUGGCUGUCGUCAGCUCGUGUCGUGAGAUGUUCGGUUAAGUCCGGCAACGAGCGCAACCCACGUCUUUAGUUGCCAGCAGUUCGGCUGGGCACUCUAAAGAAACUGCCCGUGAUAAGCGGGAGGAAGGUGUGGAUGACGUCAAGUCCUCAUGGCCCUUACGGGUUGGGCUACACACGUGCUACAAUGGUGCCUACAGUGGGUUAAUCUCCAAAAGGCAUCUCAGUUCGGAUUGGGGUCUGCAACUCGACCCCAUGAAGUCGGAAUCGCUAGUAAUCGCGUAACAGCAUGACGCGGUGAAUACGUUCCC